rnacentral:rRNA from 1 species
AUGACACAGUUCGGCUUUGCCCCUCAUUGGGUUUCCAUGAUCAUGAGGUGUGUUACCUCGGCACGCUUCUCGGUUAAACUUAACGGCGGGCUCUCGAGGAGUUUUUUACCCUCUCGCGGUCUAAGACAGGGCGACCCUUUGUCACCUUACUUGUUCCUUUUCUGCGUAGAGGGGUCUUCGGCACUCCUCAAGAGGGCUCAGAAUGAUAAACUUUUAAUGGGAGUGAAGUUCGGGAGCACUGGCCCCCAUGUAACUCACCUCCUGUUUGCAGAUGACAGUAUAGUUUUCCUAGAGGGCACAAAGGAGAACAUGGAGACCCUAAAACAGAUCCUCACCAAGUAUGAAAAAGCAUCAGGUCAAAAAGUAAACCUGCAGAAAUCUUCCAUUUUCUUUGGAAGAGGGAGUAAUGAUAGGAUGAAGGAACAGAUGAAACAAGCGGUGGGGAUUCAGUCGGAAGCGCUUAGUGAACGGUAUUUGGGUCUUGCAACACUAGUUGCGAGAUCAAAGGAUGGCACGUUCUAG